rnacentral:rRNA from 1 species
UACGUAGGGUGCAAGCGUUAAUCGGAAUUACUGGGCGUAAAGCGUGCGCAGGCGGUUUUGUAAGUUUUGUCGUGAAAUCCCCCGGGCUCAACCUGGGAAUGGCGAUGAAGACUGCAAGGCUAGAAUCUGGCAGAGGGGGGGUAGAAUUCCACGUGUAGCAGUGAAAUGCGUAGAGAUGUGGAGGAACACCGAUGGCGAAGGCAAUCCCCUGGACCUGUACUGACGCUCAUGCACGAAAGCGUGGGGAGCAAACAGG